GACGAACGCUGGCGGCGUGCUUAACACAUGCAAGUCGAACGGUGAAGCGCCUUCCUUUUUGGUGGGUGUGGAUGAGUGGCGAACGGGUGAGUAACACGUGAGUAACCUGCCCCCUUCUUCUGGAUAACCGCAUGAAAGUGUGGCUAAUACGGGAUAUUCUGGGUCUGUCGCAUGAUGGGUCUGGGAAAGAUAUUGUUUCGGUGGGGGAUGGGCUCGCGGCCUAUCAGCUUGUUGGGGGGGUGAUGGCCUACCAAGGCGGUGACGGGUAGCCGGCCUGAGAGGGUGGACGGUCACACUGGGACUGAGACACGGCCCAGACUCCUACGAGAGGCAGCAGUGGGGAAUAGUGCACAAUGGGCGCAAGCCUGAUGCAGCGACGCCGCGUGAGGGAUGGAGGCCUGCGGGUUGUGAACCUCUUUCGCCAGUGAAGCAGGCCUGCCUCGUUUGUGGGUGGGUUGACGGUAGCUGGAUAAGAAGCGCCGGCUAACUACGUG
rnacentral:rRNA from 1 species